rnacentral:sRNA from 1 species
CGCCGCCUGACCUGAGCUGAGUGGGUCGCCGUGGUAGAGGGUGCGGGGCAUGGGGUGACCUCGGGGUGUGACAGGCCGUC